AUAGACCACCAGAAAUGUCAAUAAGAAUAAUAUUCACUGAAUAGAAUAAAAACUAAGUGAAAGGAGCAUGGGAGCAUACAUUCAGGACUCAAAGGAAUUUUAGAAGACAUUGACUCCAAUCCUUGCAUUUUACAGAUGAAUCGCCUGAGGCCAAGAGAAAUUAAGUGACUUGCCUAGGAUCACAUUUCUAAUCAAGCUUUCUGAGGAUUGCUGCUUCAGCUUCUGCCUGCUGCCCCCAAGCCCUGUACCUCUUUUCAGAGACUGGAGAUGUCGGAAGGAUGAUUCAGUGACUGUGCUGCACAGGGUACACAGUAAAACUUUCAGUGGGCUGGGCUUCUCUUUCUCCAUCACAAUUACAUCUGAUGAGAGUGGCAUGAAGGAAAGACAUCCAUGGCACAAUUUAGGUAAAGACCAGCCUACCCUGGAGGGGGGAACAUGAAACCUUCAUGUACCCUGGAGUCUUCAAAAUCUAAUGGCAAGACAGAAGACAAGAUGACCGGC
rnacentral:lncRNA from 1 species